rnacentral:rRNA from 1 species
AUUGAACGCUAGCGGGAUGCUUUACACAUGCAAGUCGAACGAGUGGCGGACGGGUGAGUAAUAUAUCGGAACGUGCCCAGUAGCGGGGGAUAACUACUCGCAAGCGUGGCUAAUACCGCAGACUAUUGGAGCGGCCGAUAUCGGAUUAGCUAGUUGGUGGGGUAAAGGCGAACCAAGGAAACGAUCCGUAGCUGGUUUGAGAGGAAGACCAGCCACACUUGGACGGAGACACGGCCCAGACGCCUACGUGAGGCAGCAGUGGGGAAUUGUGGACAAUGGGGGAAAGCCUGAUCCAGCCAUCCCGCGUGUAUGAGAAGGCCCUAGGGUUGUAAAGUACUUUCAGUCGGGAGGCGUUACCGACAGAAGAAGCACCGGCUAACUCCGUGCCAGCAGCCGCGGUAAUUC